CUAGGAGAUCCCUCCCGAUGGACCCUGAGCUUCUAUCAAUUCAAAGGCCCAAAAGAAAAGGCUGGGGCCCUCCUACUCCCAGUUACCCAGCCCUAAAGACCAGCCAGGUUCUUGUGCAAUUGGGAAUCUUUUACACAAGAAUGAGCCUACAUGGCGGGAAAAGCAAACAGUUGGCACAACAUAACUGCACAGACCCAAUGGGCACCAUGCCUGAUACUCUUCUGAGAAUGUCCAAUUCCUGACUGCCAGAGGCUGUUGACAAGCCUGGAACUGGGCCAAGAAAUUGAAAGUUACAGCCCCAAAGGCAGGAGCACAGGACACGGACAGGACAGGACCUGGAAGGGACACGUGGCCCAGGUCCCUGCAUUGAUAUGGGAGUGCUGUGGAGAGACAGGACGUGGAGGGGACAUGUGGCCCAGGUCCCCCCAUGGACACGGGAAUGCCAUGGAGGGACGGGAUGUGGAGGAGACGUGUGGCCCAGGUCCCCCUGUGGACAUGGGAAUGCUGUGGAAGGACGGGAUGUGGAGAGGACAUGUGGCCCAGGUCCCGCCAUGGACACGGGAAUGUCGUGGAGGGAUGGGACGUGGAGGGGACGCAUGGCCCAGGUCCCCCUGUAGACAUAGGAAUGCUGUGGAGGGAUGGGAUGUGGAGGGGAUGUGUGGCCCACUUCCCCCCCCCCUCCCCGUGGACAUGGGGACACUGUAGAAAGACAGAACACUGAGGGGACAUGUGGCCCAGGUCACCUCAAGGACAUGGGGACCCUGUGGAGACGGGACACUGAUAUUGUCUGUCCCUAUGUGUCUAUCUCACUGUCCUGUCUCUCCUGCUUCCAUGGCCACCAGCCUCUGUGGGCUGACACUGAGGGAGGGACACUGAGCAUGGCUCCUGUGGGUCUGUGGGCCUGUGCUCUGGUCUGGCCGCACGCUGUUGGUGGGCUGUGGCACUAGGCUGGUGCCCUGCCUGCAGUCUGUUGUGACUGUGACGGAGUCAUGUGUUUCAAGGCCAUUUUCAGGUGGGAGGCGUUCCGGGGUCUGGUCCCAGCAUGGUGGGGCAUAGGCCAGUGACCUAGGGCUGUGGGGAGGCUGUGGAAGUUGGGGAAGUGCGUGGAAAAGAGGAAAACAGCUGAACAUAGACACUAGCGGGAGGGACAUGCCGGGAGACAGACAGAGACAGGGAGAGGAAGAGAUAGGGAGAGGAAAGGAGAGAGACGGAGAAAGAUGGAGGGAGACAGAGAGAGAGAGAUUGAGAGACAGAGGGGAAGAUAGAGACAGAGGGGGGAAGCAGAGAGACAGAGACAGAGGGAGACAGAGAGUGGCAGAGAGGUAAGACAGAGAGACAGAAACAGAGAGACAGACUGAAA
rnacentral:lncRNA from 10 species